AACUUUCAACAACGGAUCUCUUGGUUCUCGCACCGAUGAAGAACGCAGCGAACUGCGAUACGUAAUGUGACUUGCAGAAUCUCGUGAAUCAUCAAAUCUUUGAACGCAAAUGGCGCUCCCGUGCAGGGAGCACGCCUGUCUGAGUAUCAUAUACCCUCUCCAUCGACGUUGCUGCUGCCUCCGCGGGCGGCCAACUCGACCUCUUGUUUGGGAGUCUCGCAGCUUUGGUGCUGCGCGUCUCCUUAAAGCCAUCCAAAACCUGUGUGUCCUUUUUAUCCCGGCGGAAUAAGAAAGAACCCAGUUUGCUGCGCUGUAAGCUUCACCGCUCCUCGCAGCAGCUCCCUCUCUCUUGGUUCCCCGGGGGACGGGCACACCCACUUCCGUGAUCUCAGAUCAGGCGAGACGACCCGCUGAACUUAAGCAUAUCAAUAAGCGGAGGCU
rnacentral:misc_RNA from 1 species